rnacentral:rRNA from 1 species
UACGUAGGGCGCAAGCGUUAUCCGGAAUUAUUGGGCGUAAAGAGCUCGUAGGCGGUUCGUCGCGUCGGCUGUGAAAACCCGGAGCUCAACUCCGGGCCUGCAGUCGAUACGGGCGGACUUGAGUGUUGCAGGGGAGACUGGAAUUCCUGGUGUAGCGGUGAAAUGCGCAGAUAUCAGGAGGAACACCGGUGGCGAAGGCGGGUCUCUGGGCAACUACUGACGCUGAGGAGCGAAAGCGUGGGGAGCGAACAGG